rnacentral:rRNA from 1 species
UACGUAGGGUGCGAGCGUUAAUCGGAAUUACUGGGCGUAAAGCGUGCGCAGGCGGCUUUGCAAGACAGAUGUGAAAUCCCCGGGCUCAACCUGGGAACUGCAUUUGUGACUGCAAGGCUAGAGUACGGCAGAGGGGGAUGGAAUUCCGCGUGUGGCAGUGAAAUGCGUAGAUAUGCGGAGGAACACCAAUGGCGAAGGCAAUCCCCUGGGCCUGUACUGACGCUCAUGCACGAAAGCGUGGGGAGCAAACAGG